rnacentral:rRNA from 1 species
UACGUAGGUGGCAAGCGUUGUCCGGAUUUACUGGGCGUAAAGCGUGCGCAGGCGGUUUUGUAAGCCAGAUGUGAAAUCCCCGGGCUUAACCUGGGAAUGGCAUUUGGGACUGCAAGGCUGGAGUGUGGCAGAGGAGACUGGAAUUCCUGGUGUAGCAGUGAAAUGCGUAGAUAUCAGGAGGAAUACCGAUGGCGAAGGCAGGUCUCUGGGCUGACACUGUCGCUCAUGCACGAAAGCGUGGGGAGCAAACAGG